UAGGGAAUCUUCGGCAAUGGACGAAAGUCUGACCGAGCAACGCCGCGUGAGUGAAGAAGGUUUUCGGAUCGUAAAACUCUGUUGUUAGAGAAGAACAAGGACGUUAGUAACUGAACGUCCCCUGACGGUAUCUAACCAGAAAGCCACGGCUAACUACGUGCCAGCAGCCGCGGUAAUACGUAGGUGGCAAGCGUUGUCCGGAUUUAUUGGGCGUAAAGCGAGCGCAGGCGGUUUCUUAAGUCUGAUGUGAAAGCCCCCGGCUCAACCGGGGAGGGUCAUUGGAAACUGGGAGACUGGAGUGCAGAAGAGGAGAGUGGAAUUCCAUGUGUAGCGGUGAAAUGCGUGGAUAUAUGGAGGAACACCAGUGGCGAAGGCGGCUCGCUGGUCUGUAACUGACGCUGAGGCUCGAAGGCGUGGGGAGCAAACAGG
rnacentral:rRNA from 1 species